CACGCCGUAAACGAUGCAUGCUAGGUGUUGGGGGUUUCAAUACCCUCGGUGCCGAAGUUAACACAUUAAGCAUGCCGCCUGGGGAGUACGCUCGCAAGAGUGAAACUCAAAGGAAUUGGCGGGGACCCGCACAAGCAGUGGAGUAUGUGGUUUAAUUCGAAGCAACGCGAAGAACCUUACCAGGUCUUGACAUCGGAGUGAAAAUGCUAGAGAUAGUGUCCCUCUUCGGAGCACUCCAGACAGGUGGUGCAUGGUUGUCGUCAGCUCGUGUCGUGAGAUGUUGGGUUAAGUCCCGCGACGAGCGCAACCCUUGAUCUUAGUUGCCAGCACGUCGAGGUGGGCUCUCUAAGAUGACUGCCGGUGACAAACCG
rnacentral:rRNA from 1 species